ACAAAUCGCGUUAAAAAAAGGAUUUAAUUUUUGAAUUAUUAAUUUUUUUUUACACAAAUAAAUUAUAAUAUUCCAUUUCAGCGCACUGGGUGAGGUGGACACAUCCUCUGGCUAAGUAUUUUCGUUAAACCAAGGAGAAACACGUAAACGGUGGCCAUAAAUAGCCAUUUAUUAACAGUUUAUCUAAUCCAAGGCCAAAAUCAGUUAACAAAAUGUAUUUACUAAUUUCGUCCACCUGUGAUCUGUAAGCCGCGCUACAUGACCCGCCCACUUCCACUUCCACUUCAGUUUUUUGGCGUGGCUUAGAGCAUCCAUUGCUUUGGUCUCUGAUCUUAUUCUUAUGUGUCUUAUCUUGUCUACCUUUUUAAUGUUUAGAAUGCUCCUUUCCAUGUCACGUUGACAUGUAUUUAUAUUGUUUUAUUUGUAAAUCUCCAUGUUUGAAAUACAUAUGUUAGCCAUGCAAUAAAGUAUGAGUUCAUAACUCUCUUCUUAAGCAUUAUAGACAUAUCACUCUUAAAUAUUCUACUCUCUAUCGGUAGUUCGCGCUAAAUCUCGUUUCUGUAUCUCACCUAUCAGGGCCUGCCAUUCGGGUCGAGGAUCAUCCCUCCCUCAGGAGUCCAACGUUCUUCCUCCACUUUAAACUAAAAUCAAAAUUUCUAAAACAGCUCUUGGGAUACUGCGCAGGAUUUUAACAAUUAAUUUAGAGAAAUGGAACUCUGAUCGAGAGUGAUUAAAGCAAAGGCGACCUGGGAUCACGCAAAUGGAUACAGUUGAAGAUUUGAGAUAUUGAUACGAACCGCAUUUCCAUUAUGCGAAAUCACAACUGAGACGUGCGUGGCGUGGUUCGAGCAGAUUUUUGAUAUCAAGUACAAUUCAUUCGAAAUUCGAAAAAUACACCAAAGCAAUGGACGUGAUUCGAAAUUCAAAUUACCGCACCACAGUUCUGUUCAUAUUUCGAAAUUCAAAGAAAAUUGAGUAUUUGUUUACUGGGAGAAAAUAAAUAAAAAUUAUUUUGUA